rnacentral:rRNA from 1 species
GACGAACGCUGGCGGCGUGCUUAACACAUGCAAGUCGAACGAAGUGGCGAACGGGUGAGUAAUACGUGGGUAACCUGCCCUCCUUUUUGGGAUAAGCCUUGGAAACGGGGUCUAAUACCGAAUAAAGGGGGAUGGGCUCGCGGCCUAUCAGCUUGUUGGUGGGGUGAUGGCCUACCAAGGCGGGGACGGGUAGCCGGCCUGAGAGGGUGACCGGCUGCAUUGGGACUGAGGUACGGCCCAGACGCCGACGGGAGGCAGGAGUGGUGGAUAUUGCAGAAUGAAGGCAAAUCUGAACCAGCCAAGUAGCGUGCAGGAUGACGGCCUAUGGGUUGUAAACUGCUUUUAUGUGAGAAUAUGUAUCACAUGAAUAAGGACCGGCUAAUUCCGUGCCAGCAGCCGCGGUAAUUC